UCCGGUUUGUCACCGGCAGUCUCCCUAGAGUGCCCUUGCGUAGCAACUAGGGACAAGGGUUGCGCUCGUUGCGGGACUUAACCCAACAUCUCACGACACGAGCUGACGACAGCCAUGCACCACCUGUGAACCUGCCCCGAAGGGAAACCGUGUUUCCACGGCGGUCAGGCACAUGUCAAACCCAGGUAAGGUUCUUCGCGUUGCGUCGAAUUAAACCACACGCUCCGCUGCUUGUGCGGGCCCCCGCCUAUUCCUUUGAGUUUUAACCUUGCGGCCGUAGUCCCCAGGCGGUGAACUUAAUGCGUUAGCUUCGGCACGGGGGGAGUCGACACCCCCCACACCUAGUGCCCAUCGUUUACGGCGUGGACUAC
rnacentral:misc_RNA from 1 species